rnacentral:misc_RNA from 1 species
UUCUCUCAUUCUCUCUCUAUUUUCUCUCUCUAGAGAAGCUCCAUUGCGACAAGUAUAUCCAUCGUUAAAAGUUGUUUCUAGGGUUUUUGAAAUUCGUCCCUGUAGCAGCACAACGAAAAAGGGGGUCCUAUUUUCAUCAUCAAAGAAUUACCCACUUUUUUCUUCUUCGAAAAAUGACGACUUCUGCUGUGAAGAACAACUUCUUGCCACCGGGAUUGGUGUCAAAUCUUCAGGAAGUUCUUCUUAACAGAAAGGGUGCUCAAAAUGAUAAAGAUCAGCAAUCGAAGCCGAAAGAUGAUGACCCAUCAACUCAGUCGUCGUCUUCUGACUUGGUUCCCGAUGUUGCCGCUGAUGACGCUGACAGUACUAAGCCAGUGGUAUUGGUUACUAAUGCUGAUGGAAUUGAAUCUCCUGGUCUUACUUGUCUUGUUGAUGCUCUUGUUCGUCAAGGUCUCUGUAAUGUUAAUGUCUGCGCUCCCCAAUCAGAUAAAUCGGUGGCGGGCCAUUCUUUGACACUUAAAGAAACCAUUGCAGUUACUCCGACUGACAUUCACGGUGCUACUGCUUAUGAAGUAUCUGGGACUCCUGUAGAUUGUGUGUCAUUAGCCUUGUCUGGGGCACUCUUUUCCUGGUCAAAGCCAGUCCUGGUAAUAAGUGGAAUCAACAGGGGUUCAAGUUGUGGCCAUCAAAUGUUUUACUCAGGUGUCGUAGCUGGUGCUAGGGAGGCAUUGUUUAACAGUGUUCCAUCUAUAUCGAUAUCACUUGACUGGAGGAAUGAUGAAAGUCAAGAAAGUGAUUUCAAGGACGCCGUGAGUGUUUCCUUACCAUUGAUAAAUGCAGCCAUCAGAGACAUAGAAAAGGGAGCAUUUCCUAAAAGUUGCUUGUUGCAUAUUGGAGUUCCGAAAUCUCCUCUGACAAACAAGGGAUUCAAAUUGACCAAGCAAAGUCUCUGGAGCUCUAAGCUUUGCUGGCAAGCUAAAUCAUCCACCAGAAAUCUUGCUGCUGGACGUUUUCUUCCAAAUCAACAAAGCCUUGGGAUGCAGCUCGCACAAUUAGGUCGAGAUGCUUCUGCAGCAGGUGCUGCUCGCAAAUUAGUUACUCAGAGAAAGAACAUAGAGGUUGUUGAAUCUGUUGGUAUUGCUGGGAAAUCUGAUCCGGACAGGAAAGUGAAGUACUUUAGAUUGGAGUUGCUUGAUAAGAAACAGGAAGAAGAAGACGAGGAUUUAGAUUUUAGAGCUCUCGAAAAUGGAUUUGUGGCAGUCACUCCAGUAUCUCUUGUAAUGCAUGUGGAAACAGAUGUUAAUGCAGCUGCAUCAAAGUGGAUUUCUUCUGCAUUAGAAGUGGAACAAUGAAAAGAUGAAGCUAAUAUUCAGUAUUGUUUGUUGUACAUCUUUAGAUGACUUUGUUCAGGUCAUAUUGCAAAACUUACAUGGGCCAUAGUUGUGAUGCCUCAAUUAUUUAUUUGGUUUUUCAACCUUUUAAUUUGUGUCCCGCGAAGCCAAUGCUUCCACUGUUUACUUGAAAGGCCAGCAUGUUGUAAAAGUGCCAUACUUUUUUGCUUGGUACCACAAAAUUUGUGUUUUAGGUUUGUUUUUAUUGGGCAAAUUUGUGCUGUUAGGCAGGAUGGUGGAAUCCUUGUAAACUGG